rnacentral:rRNA from 1 species
UACGGAGGGUGCAAACGUUGCUCGGAAUCAUUGGGCGUAAAGCGCACGUAGGCGGCUUGGCAAGUCGGAUGUGAAAUCCCUCGGCUCAACCAAGGAAGUGCAUCCGAAACUGCUGAGCUUGAGUACUUAAGAGGAUCGCGGAAUUCCCGGUGUAGAGGUGAAAUUCGUAGAUAUCGGGAGGAACACCAGUGGCGAAGGCGGCGAUCUGGGAAGAUACUGACGCUGAGGUGCGAAAGCGUGGGGAGCAAACAGG